rnacentral:rRNA from 1 species
UACAGAGGUCUCAAGCGUUGUUCGGAUUCAUUGGGCGUAAAGGGUGCGUAGGUGGCGAGGUAAGUCGGAUGUGAAAUCUCAGGGCUCAACCCUGAAACUGCAUUCGAUACUGCCUUGCUCGAGGACUGGAGAGGAGAUUGGAAUUCACGGUGUAGCAGUGAAAUGCGUAGAUAUCGGGAGGAAUACCUAUGGCGAAAGCAGGCUACUGGACCAUCACUGACGCUGAUCUGCGAAAGCUAGGGGAGCAAACAGG